rnacentral:rRNA from 1 species
UACGUAGGGUGCGAGCGUUGUCCGGAAUUAUUGGGCGUAAAGAGCUCGUAGGCGGCUUGUCGCGUCAACUGUGAAAACCCGUGGCUCAACCGCGGGCCUGCAGCCGAUACGGGCAGGCUAGAGUUCGGUAGGGGAGACUGGAAUUCCUGGUGUAGCGGUGAAAUGCGCAGAUAUCAGGAGGAACACCGAUGGCGAAGGCAGGUCUCUGGGCCG